rnacentral:snRNA from 1 species
AAUCCCUUGUCCUGGGUUAGAUU